rnacentral:rRNA from 1 species
AGGAAAAGAAACCAACAGGGAUUGCCCUAGUAACGGCGAGUGAAGCGGCAACAGCUCAAAUUUGAAAUCUGGCGCAAGCCCGAGUUGUAAUUUGUAGAGGAUGCUUCUAGCCAGCGGCCGUUCUAAGUUCCUUGGAACAGGACGUCAUAGAGGGUGAGAAUCCCGUAUGUGACCGGCACGCAGCCUUUACGUAGCUCCUUCGACGAGUCGAGUUGUUUGGGAAUGCAGCUCUAAAUGGGAGGUAAAUUUCUUCUAAAGCUAAAUACCGGCCAGAGACCGAUAGCGCACAAGUAGAGUGAUCGAAAGAUGAAAAGCACUUUGGAAAGAGAGUUAAAAAGCACGUGAAAUUGUUGAAAGGGAAGCGCUUGCAACCAGACUUCGUAGCGAUGUUCCGCUGGUCUUCUGACCGGUCUACUCAUCGUCGCGAGGCCAACAUCGUCUGGGCCCCCUUGAUAAGACCUAAGGAAUGUGGCUCUCUUGGGGAAUGUUAUAGCCUGUGGUGAUGCAGCGUGGCUCGGGGAGGUCCGCGCUUCGGCAAGAAUGUGGGCGUAAUGGUUGUCAGCGGCCCGUCUUGAAACAGGGACCAAGGAGUCUAACAUCUAUGCGAGUGUUCGGGUGUCAAACCCCUACGCGUAAUGAAAGUGAACGGAGGUGGGAAGCGCAAGCUGCACCAUCGACCGAUCCUGAUGUCCUCGGAUGGAUUUGAGUAAGAGCAUAGCUGUUGGGACCCGAAAGAUGGUGAACUAUGCCUGAAUAGGGUGAAGCCAGAGGAAACUCUGGUGGAGGCUCGCAGCGGUUCUGACGUGCAAAUCGAUCGUCAAAUUUGGGUAUAGGGGCGAAAGACUAAUCGAACCAU